AUUGAACGCUGGCGGCAUGCCUUACACAUGCAAGUCGAACGGCAGCACGGGUGCUUGCCCCUGGUGGCGAGUGGCGAACGGGUGAGUAAUACAUCGGAACAUGUCCUGUAGUGGGGGAUAGCCCGGCGAAAGCCGGAUUAAUACCGCAUACGAUCUACGGAUGACAGCGGGGGACCUUCGGGCCUCGCGCUAUAGGGUUGGCCGAUGGCUGAUUAGCUAGUUGGUGGGGUAAAGGCCUACCAAGGCGACGAUCAGUAGCUGGUCUGAGAGGACGACCGGCCACACUGGGACUGAGACACGGCCCAGAGUCCUACGGGAGGGAGCAGUGGGGAAUGUUGGGCAAUGGGCGAAAGCCUGAUCCAGCAAUGCCGCGUGUGUGAAGAAGGCCUUCGGGUUGUAAAGCACUUUUGUCCGGAAAGAAAUCCUUGGCCCUAAUACGGUCGGGGGAUGACGGUACCGGAAGAAUAAGCACCGGCUAACUACGUG
rnacentral:rRNA from 1 species